ACUCCUACGGGAGGCAGCAGUGGGGAAUAUUGCACAAUGGGCGCAAGCCUGAUGCAGCCAUGCCGCGUGUAUGAAGAAGGCCUUCGGGUUGUAAAGUACUUUCAGCAGUGAGGAAGGUAGGUAGUGUUAAUAGCACUAUCAUUUGACGUUAGCUGCAGAAGAAGCACCGGCUAACUCCGUGCCAGCAGCCGCGGUAAUACGGAGGGUGCGAGCGUUAAUCGGAAUUACUGGGCGUAAAGCGCAUGCAGGUGGUUUGUUAAGUCAGAUGUGAAAGCCCGGGGCUCAACCUCGGAAUUGCAUUUGAAACUGGCAGACUAGAGUACUGUAGAGGGGGGUAGAAUUUCAGGUGUAGCGGUGAAAUGCGUAGAGAUCUGAAGGAAUACCGGUGGCGAAGGCGGCCCCCUGGACACGAUACUGACACUCAGAUGCGAAAGCGUGGGGAGCAAACAGGAUUAGA
rnacentral:rRNA from 1 species